rnacentral:misc_RNA from 1 species
AUUUAUUUGCUUGUUCACUCAUUCAUGCGUUUAUGGAAAGCGCAAUUCUAAUGAAUUCAUUUUCUUGUCAGUUUCUCUGUUCGAUGUUGUGGUCAUUACCUAAACCUCUUCGAGCCAUGCAACAGUAGCAGUUUCAGGUUUAUACUGGUACCAUCUUUCUGAAGUUGGAAGCUGGUAGUGUUUACAUAUCUUCCAAUGGAUAUAUUGUGCUACUCUAUCGUGUCUAUGAAUAUAUUUGGCCUUUGCAAGCGCUGUGCAUCCAGUUAAGAUGUGGUCCACUGUUUCAUCCUGCUCAUGACACAUUCUGCAUUUCAGAGGUUCCAGUCUGUUAUUUACAUCAUAAUGGUACUGAUGCUAAGGCAUUGCAGGAAGAUAUUCAUCAAACUUCUAGCAACCAUAUACCUGGUAUUAAUAAUAUAUUCAGUGAUCAAUUAUAACUCGCGUUGUCGUACCACUAUGCCUGAUGUUCUUGAUUAUCGAUAUUUAAGUGAUCCAAUCUAUUUCAAUAAAUGCCGGAUUGAUUUUCCUGCUUUGGGUAUUAAAAAAAUAGAUAUUUUCAAUGAACCUGAGAUAAAACUUAUUCAAGAAGAAAACAAACAGGUGAAGCUUGGCGGAAGUUGGAGACCAAUGACUUGUGAUUCUUGGCAGAAAAUAGCCAUUGUGAUUCCAUAUCGCGAUCGCUGGAAACAUCUGAAAAUAUUACUCAACCGUUUACAUCCAAUGCUCACUCGACAGAAAGCUGACUACCGAAUAUUUGUUAUAGAACAGAGUGGAAUUAGUACAUUUAAUCGAGGUAAGCUGAUGAACAUUGGUUACUUGGAGGCCCUUGACUAUGACAGCUUUGAUUGUUUUGUAUUUCACGAUGUUGAUUUGAUUCCAGAGAACGACAAAAAUAUAUAUUUAUGUGACCAACAUGCUAGACAUUUGGCAUCAGCAAUUGAUGAAAUGAGAUACCAUGUGAUGUUCUACAACUAUGCUGGAGGUGUCAUUGCUAUCAACAGGGAAAAUGUAAAGAAGAUCAAUGGUUAUUCCAACUUCUACUGGGGCUGGGGAAAUGAAGAUGAUGACCUCUCAGCACGGACAAAGAGUGCUGGAUUACUACUAACAAGGCCACCGGAAUACAUUGGCAGAUAUAAAAUGGUUCGGCAUGUGAAAGACAGUCGAGCAGAACAUGGAAACGAACUAUUCUUAAGUUGGCGGAGUCGGUGGUCAGCUGAUGGCUUGAAUGACCAUGAAGGAAUGAAUUAUACAGUUGUGGCUAGGGAUAAUAGACCACUCUAUACCAACAUCACGGUUAAUAUUGGUACAAGCACAGUUCCCAAGAAGCAGCCAACCAACCCAGUCCAAGAGAGUCUUUGGUGGUUCUUUAAUUUUUACUAUCCUUAACUUGCCUAGUCUAAUUCCACCAAAGACUGCCUUGUAUCACAACUGAACAUUACCAUCUGAUGAAAUGAAACAGCAGGAGGUCAUUACUUUUGAGGAAAAAACUGUUUCAUCUACUUUGAAUACAAGUUAAGAAGUGUAAUUACCACCAUGAUUGAUAAUAUGCUUGAGAACUUGGGGAAAUACCUUGGCCACCUGGGUGGCUGCACUUGCAGACAAACAGAUACUGUGAUGGUCAUGCCAUUGUCUGAAUUUUUCAAACUGAUCUCUGCUAGCAAUGAAUGCUUCUGAAUUUUCCUUGGCAUGUUACAGGAACUCUCAGUACUUUGGAGAAGCAGGCAACUUUCCAUCAUGGUAAGUAAAAAAUUAUAUGAACAAUUUGUGAGCAUUUGAGAGUAUACAUGAGCAUGAAUCAUAGUUUCUUACAUUUUAGCAUAUAAUUAUUAUAGUAAUGUGUGGAGGUGCAAUGGCCCAGUAGUUAGGGCAGCAGACUCGCGGUUGUAGGAUUGAGGUUUCGAUUCCUAGACCGGGCAUUGUGAGUGUUUAUUGAGCAAAAACACCUAAAGCUCCA